UAGAUGGGUGUUCGUGGGUGUUUACCCUCUGGGGCUGUCAUGAACAUGCCACUGUGCGCAUUCAUGUGCAAGUUGUUAUGUGGACAUUGUCCGCAUUUCUCCUGGGUGUCUCCCUACCAGUGGAAUACUGGGUUGUAUGGUGAUUGUUUAACAUUUAAGGAGCUGCCAGGCUGAUUUCCAAAGUGGCUGCACCAUUUUCCAUCUCAACCAGUAGUGUUAGAGGCUCCAGUUUCUCCACGUCCCUGUCACACUUGUCACAGUCCCUCUUUUUGAUUGUAGCCAUCCCAGUGGGGGUGAGGUGGCAUCUCUUGUGGUUUUGAUUGAACUUCUCUGAUGACUAACGAUGGGCCUCUCUUCAUGUGCUUCUGGAGUGCUUUCUUUUCCCCUAAAAUUCCAAUUUAAAGGGUUCCUCAAAUCUUUGUAAGGUUCUGACCUGGCGUUUUUUUUUUUAAAUGUUACUGUGACUACUCUCUUUCUCCUCUGCCAUCCAUGAAGCCAAGCGUGAAGUGAGGGCCGGGUCACUGUAGGAGGAAUAUUAGGAACAGCAGCUGUUGGACACAGCUGUGCUUAGAGCAUCUUCUUGCAGAGCCUUUACCUUGUACUCUCUCACUGAGAUGCUGGCUGAUUGCUAGGUCGACCCUCUCUUGGUAAAAAGAUCAAUUUGGGCAGAGAGGAAGAGACACAUGGUUGGAUGGAGGCCAAACUGAAAUUCUGAUUCUCAAGCAUGUGAUAAUCCAUGCAAAAUGUUAGCCAAUUUAGUUGAGUUUUUAAUCUUAUUAGCAAGUAUCCUUGCCACCUGAUACCCUUCCCGGCAGCUGUGAAACCCAAACUGUAUUGAAUUUGGUGAGAAUCACACGCUUGAAACAGCUCCGGGGUCAAGCUGUGAGUCCUUGAACACAGCUCCCUUGCUGACCCCUGUAAGUUCAGGUUGGCUGCUCCAUUUCGUCAGACGCCCAUGUCAGCAGCACGUGGACACAGGGAACUCUUACCUUUGCGGGUAUCUGAAGAUCAAAGGCCUUACUGAGGAGUACCCAACCCUCACGACCUUCUUCGAAGGAGAGAUAAUCAGCAGGAAGCACCCUUUCUUAACCCGAAAGUGGGACGCUGACGAGGACGUGGACCGGAAGCACUGGGGCAAGUUUCUGGCUUUUUAUCAGUAUGCAAAAUCGUUUAACUCAGACGACUUUGAUUAUGAAGAGCUGAAGAGUGGGGACUAUGUCUUCAUGAGGUGGAAGGAGCAGUUCCUAGUCCCAGACCACACGAUCAAGGACAUCAGUGGUGCUUCCUUUGCCGGCUUCUACUACAUCUGCUUCCAGAAGUCAGCGGCCUCCAUAGAGGGCUACUACUACCACAGGAGCUCAGAGUGGUAUCAGUCGCUAAAUCUCACUCACGUUCCAGAACACAGCGCCCCCAUCUACGAGUUCCGGUGACAGCGGCUCGGAACAGUAACCAAACAAACUGAACUUGGCAAAAAAGAACUUUGCCAGGAAAACCGUGUACCUGCCAGAAUCGGGAGAACGUGUGUUCCUGUUUCUUCACGAGCAGAUUCGCAUCGAAAGCAUGAAUGUCAGCCCGCAGCAUCCGUGGAGCAGCCAGCCCGCAGGGCAGGUGGAGGGCGACCUCGGCUCCUCCUCCCUCCUUGUGAGGUUUGGUCGUGAGCUGUUUCUAGGCUGCCGUCAAUGCACUUUUCCUUCCUGCACAGCUAACUUCUGUAUCCCUGAGAUGCACAGCCCUUGCUCCACCCCAGCCCCCCUGGGCCUCGGUGCUCAGUGGUCCCCACCCAGGCCCCCCACCCCCGGCUGCUUAGUCUGGUAAGUCAAGAGAAGGCAGAGCCCAGCUCCCACGUGCCUCUGGAGCUCUGUGCGGGGCGCAGGCCAAGUGGUCAGCGAGGGCGAUCGAGCCAAGCUAGCCUGUGGCCAGUGGGUCCCCUGGGCCUGCCGUUGGGACCACAGGGUUUGAGGCUUCCGGGUCCCUGGCAGGAACAGACUUCAGUCCUGCUCACUCAGCAUGUUUGCUCCAAACUUUUGAACUUGAGGGCAAUACUAAACUUUAAAAAAAAGAAAAUUUUUUUAUUACAAAAUUAUUUUUAUGGUUCCUUUAGCAAGGACCCUAUGGCAAAUGCACAAUUAUUCAGAAUUACAUUUUAUCGUUUUCACAUUGAAAACAGCAAAUGUUGACUUAGUAAUUUUUAUAUCUAUAUGUAAAUGUAUAUUUAAUUAGCCAGCAGUUUGAAACUGGUCACCUGGUGAGACGUUCUGCAGCAUUGCAUCCAUUCUAGUGCUAAACAUGAGGACCAUUCUGGGGGCCAGUUUAGCACUUGUUCCUCCUCCUUUCUCUACUCAGAACAGCAGCGCUUCCCGGCAACCUCUCCCAUCAGGCAGAAGGGGCCGCUGCAGCCCUAGACCCGCAGCUCAGCGGUGUCGGGGCACAGGAGAGGCUCAGCUUGAACACACUCAAGUAACCCGAGGCUCACGUGCCAAAGUAUGUGUGUGUGCGUGCACAGGUGUGCGCGACUGUUUUGUUUUGUUUAAACGUUUAGAGAGCUUCAUGUGGCAUCUGCUACAGCCCCCAUAUGUGGCAAGGCCUGGGGGCGGGGUUGGUGACUUCUGGUGAUCUAUAGACUCACUCGAAACCCCGGGAAGGAAAGCUUUAACUGAGAGGUAGUGUUGUCAUAACCCACAGGAGCGGAAGUGGUGCGAGGGACAGGUCCAGGGCGGAGGGAGAAGGCACCAAGCCCUCCGGUCUAGGUGAGCGGGGGGCGGGUCUCUUAGUCUCAGAAACCUUUAUCGAAGUAUGUGCUGUAUGUUGCUGAGAUUGCAUGUCAGAAGCCUUAAGAAGUGUUGGGAAGGUGGCUGCAGCAGAAGGAUGGCUCAUGUCCGUCUCAAGAGAUGAGUCAGAAACAUCCUCUUAAUUUUAGAGCCGGCUGGCAGCUCGGGGGCCGGGUAGCGCAGGCUCCCUUUCCCUGCCCCCAAGUUCUCAGCGAGUAACCAGCGCCUGCAUUUUGCCAGCUCCUUGGAGGGCUCAGGUAUCCCUGAGGGGGAGGCGGCCCCUCCCCGCCUCCCGGAACUGGUUGGGGCCCAUGUGUGUGGCCGUGAGUGGGCAGCCGGUGGGCUAGACAGGGUGUCGGCAUGCUGCUGCUGCUCGGCGGCCUGAGUGGGCCGGGCUCUGCUGUGGGCUGACUUCCUUGCUGAGCCAGGGGUCAAAUGCAGUGGUUUUGGGGAUGAAGAUGUGGUACGUUUGCCAGCUCUUUGGGACACACCUGUGAUGAAGGUUGGUUCUCGUAAAAUCCCGACUGUCAGGGGUGCAGAAGCAGGGGUUUCCAUAUCCCCCGAGGAAGCCCCAGACCCUCCACCCUUAGUUCCCGGGGAGCUUGGACCGUCACCCCCAGCUGCGGUCACUCUUUCCCGAGCUGCCUCAGUAAUCCACGCACCUCUGGUUUUACGUGCAAUGCUUCUGGUGGACACUUUUGUUCAUCACAGAGAAACCAGUGCGGGUGCAGGCUCCCCGCCACCUCCCCUCCCCACUCAGGACCCAGCUCCUGCUCCCCUGCUCUGCUCCGCACGCCCAGCCCGCCUCUGCCCAGAGCCACCCGUCCCACCCAUCGCCCUCUCCAGCCCCACGUGUCUUCACCUGUGGACGGCCGGACUGAGUGGCGCCUCCCUCCCGUGCAGUGCUGGUUCCGUGGUGAUGUGCACAGCAGACUCCAGGGGGCAGAGGGGCUUUUCAAUGUCUUUUGCUUUCAGAAACAGGGAGUUUAUAUUCUAAGGCCUUGAAAUGAUUUUGUUUUUCCUCAUAAAAUAGUCAGAUAAGCUAAUUUUUAAAAAAGAAAUGCCAUUGAGUAUGUGCAUUGUGGUUUAAAAUUACUAACGAGUUCUGGGAAAGAAAAGUAAUAUUUGAUUUUGAAUCUUACAUGUUUUUAAAAAUUAGAUUUGAAUGGGCAAAAGGAUGAGUAUUUUGUUUCUUUGGGGAGGAUAUGUGAAAAGGGUGUGAGGGUUUGGGAUGGGAGAAGUAUUUUGCAGAGCUAUCAAUGUCCAAAUAAUUUUUAAAAAGUAAUAAAGGUAUUUAAGCUUCGA